UAGGGAAUAUUGCGCAAUGGACGAAAGUCUGACGCAGCGACGCCGCGUGGGUGAAGAAGGUCUUUUGAUUGUAAAGCCCUGUGAGGGGGGACGAAAAAUUUAAAAUUGACGGUACCCCCAGAGGAAGGACCGGCUCAACACGUGCCAGCAGCCGCGGUAAUACGUGUGGUCCUAGCGUUGUCCGGACUGACUGGGCGUAAAGGGUGCGUAGGCGGGCACAUAAGUCAGGUGUGAAAUCCCCGAGCUCAACUUGGGAAGUGCGCUUGAAACUAUGUGUCUCGAGGGUGGCAGGGGUAAGCGGAAUUCCCGGAGUAGCGGUGAAAGGCGUAGAUAUCAGGAAGAACACCGGUGGCGAAGGCGGCUUACUGGGACAGAUCUGACGCUGAGGCACGAAAGCGUGGGGAGCAAACA
rnacentral:rRNA from 1 species